rnacentral:rRNA from 1 species
AGAGUUUGAUCAUGGCUCAGAGUGAACGCUGGCGGUGGGCCUAACACAUGCAAGUCGAACGGCAGCACAGGAGAGCUUGCUCUCUGGGUGGCGAGUGGCGGACUGGUGAGGAAUACAUCGGAAUCUACUUUUUCGUGGGGGAUAACGUAGGGAAACUUACGCUAAUACCGCAUACGACCUACGGGUGAAAGCAGGGGAUCUUUGGACCUUGCGCGAUUGAAUGAGCCGAUGUCGGAUUAGCUAGUUGGCGGGGUAAAGGCCCACCAAGGCGACGAUCCGUAGCUGGUCUGAGAGGAUGAUCAGCCACACUGGAACUGAGACACGGUCCAGACUCCUACGGGAGGCAGCAGUGGGGAAUAUUGGACAAUGGGCGCAAGCCUGAUCCAGCCAUACCGCGUGGGUGAAGAAGGCCUUCGGGUUGUAAAGCCCUUUUGUUGGGAAAGAAAUCCAGCUGGCUAAUACCCGGUUGGGAUGACGGUACCCAAAGAAUAAGCACCGGCUAACUUCGUGCCAGCAGCCGCGGUAAUACGAAGGGUGCAAGCGUUACUCGGAAUUACUGGGCGUAAAGCGUGCGUAGGUGGUCGUUUAAGUCCGUUGUGAAAGCCCUGGGCUCAACCUGGGAACUGCAGUGGAUACUGGGCGACUAGAGUGUGGUAGAGGGUAGCGGAAUUCCUGGUGUAGCAGUGAAAUGCGUAGAGAUCAGGAGGAACAUCCAUGGCGAAGGCAGCUACCUGGACCAACACUGACACUGAGGCACGAAAGCGUG